UCGGGAUACACUGUUUCAGUCUCAAUGACUCAAUAUUUGGGACAAAAAACAAACAAACAAAUGUAAUGCAAAAUAAGGCUGAGUAUGUACAAUGAAACUCGCAAGGUCAAUGAUCACAAGUCAGUCAUAAUGUGGCUAAUAGGCUAGUUUAUCUAUUUAUGUAGCCAUUUCUUUACCAAGCUAAAAACACAGAGCCUAACGAUAGCAAGCUAGCUGCUGGGAGGAUGUUAAGUCAUUGGACAAGUGGCAGAAGAGUAUGCUGUUGAAGGUCUGGCGCACCUGACGUUAAACAACCAAGGUAACGCUUUUCUGCUCUCCCUUCUGCUUGGAUUUUCAAAAAAGUGUCUACA
rnacentral:lncRNA from 1 species